rnacentral:rRNA from 1 species
GACGAACGCUGGCGGCGUGCUUAACACAUGCAAGUCGAACGAAGUGGCGAACGGGUGAGUAACGCGUAAUCAACCUGCCCUUCAGAGGGGGACAACAGUUGGAAACGACUGCUAAUACCGCAUACGGAAGUGGUGGAUUGCGUCGGAUUAGCUAGUUGGCGGGGUAACGGCCCACCAGGGCGAUGAUCAGUCGCCGGUCUGAGGGGAUGAACGGCCACAUUGGGACUGAGAAACGGCCCCGACUCCUACGGGAGGCAGCAGUGGGGAAACUUCCGCAAUGGACGAAAGUCUGACGGAGCACCGCCGCGUGAGUGAUGACGGGCUUCGGGUUGUAAAGCUCUGUUAAUCGGGACGCGGUACCGGAAGAGAAAGCAACGGCUAACUACGUGCCAGCAGCCGCGGUAAUAC